rnacentral:rRNA from 1 species
GACGAACGCUGGCGGCGUGCUUAACACAUGCGAGUCGAACGGAAAGGCCCUGCUUUUGUGGGGUGCUCGAUUGGCGAACGGGUGAGUAACACGUGAGUAACCUGCCCUUGACUUUGUGAUAACUUCAGGAAACUGGGGCUAAUACCGGAUAGGAGCUCCUGCUGCAUGGUGGGGGUUGGAAAGUUUCGGCGGUUGGGGAUGGACUCGCGGCUUAUCAGCUUGUUGGUGGGGUAGUGGCUUACCAAGGCUUUGACGGGUAGCCGGCCUGAGAGGGUGACCGGCCACAUUGGGACUGAGAUACGGCCCAGACUCCUACGGGAGGCAGCAGUGGGGAAUAUUGCACAAUGGGCGGAAGCCUGAUGCAGCAACGCCGCGUGCGGGAUGACGGCCUUCGGGUUGUAAACCGCUUUCGACUGUGACGAAGCGUGAGUGACGGUAAUGGGUAAAGAAGCACCGGCUAACUACGUG